rnacentral:rRNA from 1 species
UGGGGAAUUUUGGACAAUGGGGGGAAACCCUGAUCCAGCCAUCCCGCGUGUGCGAUGAAGGCCUUCGGGUUGUAAAGCACUUUUGGCAGGAAAGAAACGUCGCGGGUUAAUACCCCGCGAAACUGACGGUACCUGCAGAAUAAGCACCGGCUAACUACGUGCCAGCAGCCGCGGUAAUACGUAGGGUGCAAGCGUUAAUCGGAAUUACUGGGCGUAAAGCGUGCGCAGGCGGUUCGGAAAGAAAGAUGUGAAAUCCCAGAGCUUAACUUUGGAACUGCAUUUUUAACUACCGGGCUAGAGUGUGUCAGAGGGAGGUGGAAUUCCGCGUGUAGCAGUGAAAUGCGUAGAUAUGCGGAGGAACACCGAUGGCGAAGGCAGCCUCCUGGGAUAACACUGACGCUCAUGCACGAAAGCGUGGGGAGCAAACAGGAUUAGAUACCCUGGGUAGUCCACGCCCUAAACGAUGUCAACUAGCUGUUGGGGCCUUCGGGCCUUGGUAGCGCAGCUAACGCGUGAAGUUGACCGCCUGGGGAGUACGGUC